UGUCCCUACAUGAUAUUACACUGCCAGGAUAUCCAGUGACGUUUAUUGCUGAUUAUAUUAUAUUACCAGACCU